rnacentral:rRNA from 1 species
UACGGGGGGAGCAAGCGUUGUUCGGAUUUACUGGGCGUAAAGGGCGCGUAGGCGGCCAGCACAAGUCAGUUGUGAAAUCUCCCGGGCUUAACUCGGAACGGUCAAGUGAUACUGUCGGACUAGAGUACAGAAGGGGCAACUGGAAUUCUCGGUGUAGCGGUGAAAUGCGUAGAUAUCGAGAGGAACACCUGCGGCGAAGGCGGGUUGCUGGGCUGAUACUGACGCUGAGGCGCGAAAGCCAGGGGAGCGAACGGG